GUGGGGAAUAUUCCGCAAUGGACGAAAGUCUGACGGAGCAACGCCGCGUGAGUGAUGAAGGUUUUCGGACUGUAAAGCUCUGUUGUUUAGGACGAAAGUGCCUGUUGCAAAUAGUUACAGGUAUUGACGGUACUGAACGAGGAAGCCACGGCUAACUACGUGCCAGCAGCCGCGGUAAUACGUAGGUGGCAAGCGUUGUCCGGAAUUAUUGGGCGUAAAGAGCAUGAAGGCGGGAAUCUAAGUCUGUUGUGAAAAUGCGGGGCUCAACCCCGUAUUGCGAUGGAAACUGGGUUUCUUGAGUGCAGGAGAGGAAAGGGGAAUUCCCAGUGUAGCGGUGAAAUGCGUAGAUAUUGGGAGGAACACCAGUGGCGAAGGCGCCUUUCUGGACUGUGUCUGACGCUGAGAUGCGAAAGCCAGGGUAGCGAACGGGAUUAGAUACCCUAGUAGUCC
rnacentral:rRNA from 1 species